GAUGAACGCUGGCGGCGUGCCUAACACAUGCAAGUCGAACGGAAAGGCGCUGCUUUUGUGGGGAGCUCGAGUGGUGAACGGGUGAGUAACACGUGAGUAUCCUGUCCUUGACUUUGGGAUAUCUUCAGGAAACUGGGGAUAAUACAGGCUAGGAGCUCCUGCAGCAUGGUGGUGGUUGGAAAGUUUCGGCGGUUCGGGAUGUACUCGCGGCUUAUCAGCUUGUUGGUGGGGUAGUGGCUUACCAAGGGUUCGACGGCUAGCCGACCUGAAAGGGUGACCGGCCACAUUGGGACUGGGAGGCAGCCCAGGCUCCUACGGGACGAAGCAGUGAAGAAUGUUGCAGAAAGGGCGGAAGACUGAUGAAGCUACGCCGCGUGCGAAAUGCCGGCCUUCGGGUUGAAAACCGCUUUCGGCUAUGACGAAGCGUGUGAGACUAUAAAGGGUAAAGAACCACGGGCAAACUACG
rnacentral:rRNA from 1 species